GUAGGGAAUAUUGGGCAAUGGUCGGAAGACUGACCCAGCCAUGCCGCGUGCAGGAAGACGGCCCUCUGGGUUGUAAACUGCUUUUAUCUGGGAAGAAAAAGGCCAUGCGUGGCAAAUUGCCGGUACCAGAUGAAUAAGCACCGGCUAACUCCGUGCCAGCAGCCGCGGUAAUACGGAGGGUGCGAGCGUUGUCCGGAUUUAUUGGGUUUAAAGGGUGCGUAGGCGGCUGAUUAAGUCAGCGGUGAAAGACUUCGGCUUAACCGGAGCAGUGCCGUUGAUACUGGUUGGCUUGAGUGUCGGAGGGGUACAUGGAAUUGAUGGUGUAGCGGUGAAAUGCAUAGAUACCAUCAGGAACACCGAUAGCGAAGGCAUUGUACUGGCCGACAACUGACGCUGAUGUACGAAAGUGUGGGGAUCGAACAGGAUUAGAUACCCUUGUAGUCC
rnacentral:rRNA from 1 species